UGAGUCAUACAUUCAUUGUUUGCCUUUAUUCAUGUUAUUGUUUUCAUACCACAAAUCUUCCACGGAAGGAUUAAUAUUUGCUCUUUAUAGUAGAUCCUAGAAUGCAUCCAUCACAUCAGUGCCUUAAGUGAUCUGUGCUGUCAGCAUGAAUGACAUGAACCUCAGCCCAGUGGGCAUGGACCAGCUCAGCGUGCCGCCUGUGAGUGCAAGUCACCUCGGCCUCCCCACAUCCCCAACGCACAAUCCCAUCACCACUCCAGGCAUGCCAGUCGCUAUACCCAGCUUGGGUCCAUCACUUGGCCCUCUUCCUUCUGCAUUGUCCCUGAUGUUACCCAUGGGUCCUUUAGGGGACAGAGGCGUUAUGUGUGGCCUUCCAGAGAGAAAUUAUACAUUACCACCUCCUCCAUACCCACACCUGGAGAGCAGCUACUUCAGACAUAUCCUUC